rnacentral:rRNA from 1 species
UGCAGUCGACGAAGUCUUCGGACUUUAGUGGCGGACGGGUGAGUAACGCGUGAGAAUCUGCCUAUAGGUUGGGGACAACAGAUGGAAACGUCUGCUAAUACCCAAUGUGCCGAGAGGUGAAAGCUUUAGUGCCUGUAGAUGAGCUCGCGUCCGAUUAGCUAGUUGGUUAGGUAAGAGCUGACCAAGGCGACGAUCGGUAGCUGGUCUGAGAGGAUGAUCAGCCACACUGGGACUGAGACACGGCCCAGACUCCUACGGGAGGCAGCAGUGGGGAAUUUUCCGCAAUGGGCGAAAGCCUGACGGAGCAAUACCGCGUGCGGGACGAAGGCUUUUGGGUCGUAAACCGCUUUUGUUAGGGAAGAAGAACUGACGGUACCUAACGAAUCAGCAUCGGCUAACUCCGUGCCAGCAGCCGCGGUAAUACGGAGGAUGCAAGCGUUAUCCGGAUUUAUUGGGCGUAAAGCGUCCGCAGGUGGUUUAUCAAGUCUGCUGUUAAAGCGUGGGGCUUAACCCCAUAUAGGCAGUGGAAACUGAGAGACUAGAGUACGGUAGGGGUAGCGGGAAUUCCCAGUGUAGCGGUGAAAUGCGUAGAUAUUGGGAAGAACACCAGCGGCGAAGGCGCGCUACUGGGCCGAAACUGACACUCAUGGACGAAAGCUAGGGGAGCGAAAGGGAUUAGAUACCCCUGUAGUCCUAGCUGUAAACGAUGAUACUAGGUGUUGCCGCGUAUCGACCCGUGCAGUGCCGUAGCUAACGCGUUAAGUUGUCCGCCUGGGGAGUACGCACGCAGUGUGAACUCAAGGAAUUGACGGGGG